rnacentral:rRNA from 1 species
CCCUACGGGGGGCAGCAGUGAGGAAUAUUGGUCAAUGGCCGGAAGGCUGAACCAGCCAAGCCGCGUGAAGGACGAAGGUGCCAAGCAUUGUAAACUUCUUUUGUCAAGGGACAAAAUCAGGCUCGAGAGCCUGACCGAGGGUACCUGAAGAAAAAGCAUCGGCUAACUCCGUGCCAGCAGCCGCGGUAAUACGGAGGAUGCGAGCGUUAUCCGGAUUUAUUGGGUUUAAAGGGUGCGCAGGCGGUCUGUUAAGUCAGCGGUCAAAGCCCGGGGCUCAACCCCGGCCCGCCGUUGAAACUGGCAGG